rnacentral:rRNA from 1 species
UGCAGUCGAGCGGUAACAGGAAUUAGCUUGCUAAUUUGCUGACGAGCGGCGGACGGGUGAGUAACGCGUAGGAAUCUGCCUGGUAGUGGGGGACAACAUGUGGAAACGCAUGCUAAUACCGCAUACGCCCUACGGGGGAAAGGAGGGGAUCUUCGGACCUUUCGCUAUCAGAUGAGCCUGCGUGAGAUUAGCUAGUUGGUGGGGUAAAGGCUCACCAAGGCGACGAUCUCUAGCUGGUCUGAGAGGAUGAUCAGCCACACUGGGACUGAGACACGGCCCAGACUCCUACGGGAGGCAGCAGUGGGGAAUAUUGGACAAUGGGGGCAACCCUGAUCCAGCCAUGCCGCGUGUGUGAAGAAGGCCUUAGGGUUGUAAAGCACUUUCAGGAGUGAGGAAGGGUGUACGGUUAAUACCUGUAUAUCUUGACGUUAGCUUCAGAAGAAGCACCGGCUAACUCUGUGCCAGCAGCCGCGGUAAUACAGAGGGUGCGAGCGUUAAUCGGAAUUACUGGGCGUAAAGCGCGCGUAGGCGGUUUGUUAAGUCGGAUGUGAAAUCCCCGGGCUCAACCUGGGAAUUGCACCCGAUACUGGCAGGCUAGAGUACGGUAGAGGGGUGUGGAAUUUCCUGUGUAGCGGUGAAAUGCGUA